UUUCCGUAGGUGAACCUGCGGAAGGAUCAUUAUCGAGUCUUGACUGGUUUGUAGCUGGCCUUCCGAGGCAUGUGCACGCCCUGCUCAUCCACUCUACACCUGUACACUUACUGUGGGUAACAGAUCGUGAAGCGUGCUCUUUUACCGGAGCUUGUGAAGCGUGUCUGUGCCUGCGUUUAUUACAAACACUAUAAAGUAUCAGAAUGUGUAUUACGAUGUAACGCAUCUAUAUACAACUUUCAGCAACGGAUCUCUUGGCUCUC
rnacentral:misc_RNA from 1 species